UGCAGUACCUGUAAACAGUCUGAACAAACUUUAAAAAUUAAAACUUUCAACAACGGAUCUCUUGGUUCUGGCAUCGAUGAAGAACGCAGCGAAAUGCGAUAAGUAGUGUGAAUUGCAGAAUUCAGUGAAUCAUCGAAUCUUUGAACGCACAUUGCGCCCUUUGGUAUUCCUUAGGGCAUGCCUGUUCGAGCGUCAUU
rnacentral:rRNA from 1 species